rnacentral:rRNA from 1 species
GUUGAACGCUGGCGGCAGGCCUAAUACAUGCAAGUCGAACGAGGGGCGGACGGGUGAGUAAUGGAUGGGAAACUGCGCGAUGGAGGGGGAUAACGACUGUAAACGGUGGAUAAGACAGCAUAAGAUCCGAUGGGACCGGUUGGGAUUGGCUAGUAGGUGGGGUAACGGCUCACCUAGGCGACGAUUCCUAGCGGGUCUGAGAGGAUGACCAGCCACACUGGAACUGAGACACGGCCCAGACUCCUACGGGAGGCAGCAGUGGGGAAUAUUGCACAAUGGGCGCAAGCCUGAUGCAGCCACGCCGCGUGUAUGAAGAAGGUCUUCGGGUUGUAAAGUACUUUCAGCGAGGAGGCGGUUCUCGAAGAAGAAGCACCGGCUUACUCCGUGCCAGCAGCCGCGGUAAUUC